GUUUAAAAAAAAAAAAAAAAAAGAAAAUAGAUUUUUUUCUUUUUUCUCUCUCUUCUGAAGACCGCACGCCUCUCUUCUUUUCUUCUCCCUUUUUUUUUUUACCCAAACCCUAGCCGCCAGAGCCGCUGUCGCCUGUUACUUCGCCGUCGAUCUUCCCUCCUCUUCUAGCCGCGCCGCAUUGCCAGUGCCAUCGCCGAGCGCUGCUGCUACCCCGUCGCCGCGAAGAGCCCCCGCCGUUCGUCGUCCCCUGUCCUUCAGUCGGGUCGUCCGCCGCUGCCUCAUCCGGUGCCUGGAUUGUCGAAGUUGGCCGUGAGCCGCCACGCCCAAGCCGUUCCACCCAUGCAGACCCCCUUCAUCCGUCACGCCCAGCCAUUCAGCCCCGUUUCUGCAGCCACACUCAGCCACAAUCGAUGCAUACUACCACCCUGCCUCCGAUCGGUGCAGCCGCUCGUUUCAGACGGCGCUGGACUAGUUUCGUCGUCAUUCUGGUCAGCCACCAUUGGGUUCGCCGACCGCCGCUGCCUAUUCUUGCAAAAUCUUGAGUUGGGAUUAGGAUUUUGGAAGAUUUUGGGGCAUUGCUAUCAAGGAAGAGACCUUUCUUUUCAACCAAAAAUUUUUGGAGUUGAGUAAGUUUUGUGAUUGAUUUGAGUUUUAUCCAAGGGCUAUUAAUGAGUUAUUUGCAUAGACUUUUGAGACCAAGUUGAGGUAAGUGGUACUAUUACCGGUGCCUUCAUGCCAAGCGGCCUAGACUAGACUUAUAAAGUUACUUAAUGGACUCUUGAAGCAUGAUUUUUUUUUUCAUUAUGUUUUACUUGUUGCAUGAAAGUUAUAAGUAUUAUGAGCAUGUUCGAAUUUCUAAUCAGUACUGAUAUUAUAUAUGUGAUGCAUGAAUAGACCAAUAGAGCGGUUUACUGUCUCGCCUUGACACAUGUUUUAUUUCAGAGGACCUACGGGUCUAGUUUCAUGUUUGACAGCGUGCCUACGAGCCGUAGACAUGCGUGAGUCAAAAGGUUCACAUUCAUAUUAUUUUUCCAUGUUUGAUAGUGUGCCUAC